rnacentral:lncRNA from 1 species
CGGGCAAACAAUAUGUUUUGGUCUAAUAAUAUGGAUAAUUAUUAAGCACAGUGAUUAAUAAAUGAAUGUGAGCUAAACAUCUAUCAAGCAAGGAUGAAACGGGGUUUUCCCCUCUGUUGAUUCCACUCAAAAUGGGCGUACACUUAGAACUACUUACAAGUGAGAACGGUAUGUAUCUAACUAAUGAUAAUCAACUACUUUUUUUUAUUAGAAAAAUAAUAUUCAAAAUAAAUUUAAGAUUGAGUUUUUUUUUCAAAGUCGCCAAUUUAUAAUAAUUAAUUAAUUAACUAUACAUAAAGAGGCAUAUGAAAUUUAAUAGAAAUAAUAAUAAAACGUAAAAUAGCUCAUAACAGUAACAAAUUAAUUAUCAUUUCAAUAUGAAUAACUUUUUUAGGACCUAAUAAUAAAAAAAUAAAAAGGGGAUCUUCAUCCAAUAUCCUAAUAAGAAUCAGGCCCACAUUCCAUAGAAGAUGCGAUUGAGUCUUAAAGUCUAUAUUACACAGUUCCAGGAAUAGUCAUUGGCUGCGGAUUUUGAAGGUAGGACAUUACAACAGCGGAAAUGGACAACCUAUUAAUCACAAGAUAACAUUAGAUAUAGAUGAAUAUUAUAUUAUAUUAAUAUUACUUACAUAAAACUACUCAUAAUCUGUUUAGGAUCGUCAGUUAGCUUCAUAUUCGUGAAACUAAUACAAGAGCAAUAUAAAGCACACCAAGCACAGAACUUCAUACGCAUCAUCAAUGCACACAUGGCAAAGAUCAUUCCUAGGACAUUCAUAUAGUCAGGAGUUAAAUCCUCCCCGGGUUGUGCUCCUCCGUUUGCAUUAUUUGUUUGUUGAAUUGAGUUAAGAGGAUUUGAAUACCUAGAGAAUGUGAAUUUAAAAAUAUAAUGUGACCUUGAUUCUGUUUUUAUUUUAUAUUAUUGCAUGAAAUAGGGAAAUAAAGGCGAUGUAUAAAAUAUUAUAAAAUCAUUUCUAAGAGCAAAUAGUCCUUACGCAAAUCGAUAUGGUUAAAAAUGCCUAAAAUGUUAAUGACUCUUAGAAAUAGGAAGUGCUGUUCAGAUGUCUCAUCAGAAAACACCCCUUAAUAAUAAUAAGGUAAAAAAGGAACAAGGAAGUAAAAGUUACACUUUCCUGUUUAGUUACGAUCAUAAAUACAAAGAUAAGUUAAAAUACUUAUAUCUACUCAUAAUAUGAGUAUGAAAUUAAAAAUAUCAUAAGACUUUAUAACCUUUACAAUAAUAAAAAUAAUAGAUGGAACAGUCGGACAAAAUGACUGGCGUGUCCAAUCCACAAUGAACAAGAAAUAGUUGAGGAGAGUAAUUGAAAAGAAAUGGAAAAUAAAGGUUGGUUUUCCGCGGACACAAUGUACAUAUCCAACAAUAAACAUAAGUGACUUAUAAUCUCCGAGAUCAAACGUUGUUUUAGUUUGGAUUUAGCGAACCAACCGUCAACAAAGAUGCGUCUCAUUAUAUCAACAGCUCUGCUAUUCUCUUUGGUGAUAAGCUCUGAGCAAUCCCAAACUUUUAGAAGGGUUGUACAACAGACACCUUUUCGAUUUGCAAGACAGUCGAGUUCCUCACAAGGGGUGUAACUACAUUUACUCAUGGAUGUGCCCAUACUGCACCCAACUUCACUGCAGAUGAUGGUUCACGAUACAUUCUGACAUUCUUAAAUGGUUGUAAGUCUUUUACAGCGCAACAAGCGGAUGAGUAUUGUCAAGGCAAUGGAGGAAAGACCAUAUCACUGG